UACGUAGGGUGCAAGCGUUGUCCGGAAUUAUUGGGCGUAAAGGGCUCGUAGGCGGUCCAUCACGUCGGGAGUGAAAAGCUGGGGCUUAACCCCAGUCCUGCUUCCGAUACGGGUGGACUAGAGGUAGGCAGGGGAGAACGGAAUUCCUGGUGUAGCGGUGAAAUGCGCAGAUAUCAGGAGGAACACCGGUGGCGAAAGCGGCUCACUGGACCAUUACUGACGCUGAGGCACGAAAGCUAGGGGAGCAAACAGG
rnacentral:rRNA from 1 species